rnacentral:rRNA from 1 species
AGCGAACGCUGGCGGCAGGCUUAACACAUGCAAGUCGAGCGCUCGUAGCAAUACGGGAGCGGCAGACGGGUGAGUAACACGUGGGAACGUACCUUUUGGUUCGGAACAACAUAGGGAAACUUGUGCUAAUACCGGAUAAGCCCUUACGGGGAAAGAUUUAUCGCCGAAAGAUCGGCCCGCGUCUGAUUAGCUAGUUGGUGAGGUAACGGCUCACCAAGGCGACGAUCAGUAGCUGGUCNGAGAGGAUGAUCAGCCACAUUGGGACUGAGACACGGCCCAAACUCCUACGGGAGGCAGCAGUGGGGAAUAUUGGACAAUGGGCGCAAGCCUGAUCCAGCCAUGCCGCGUGAGUGAUGAAGGCCUUAGGGUCGUAAGCUCUUUUGUGCGGGAAGAUAAUGACUGUACCG